rnacentral:rRNA from 1 species
UCUACUUUGGGGAUCACAUAAAAUACCUGGCCCCGGCGUUUUUAUAUCUGUUUGAUUUUACAGGGCCCUCCUAAUAAUCUACUAAGGACUCUCCGGGGGGCUACCAGUUUCACAUUUCAGAGGGGCAAUUUUUUUGACCCAUUGAAAACUUACUCCUGCGAAAAGCUUUUCCAAAGGAUUUUCUCUUUUAUACGGAACAAAAAUUUAGGGGCUCCGAGAGCGUCUUCAUUCCCUUUCGAUGUCUUAACCCUAAAAACUACUCCGUCUUGGGUCCCGCCCCUUCUUUUUCUCUUACCCCUUUCGGCCCCCUUCCAGAAAAUCAAAGGGCUCGGGCCCCAGGGGGUGUAUGUUCCAAAGUCAAACUUAAAGAAAUUGCCGAAGGCCCCCCCGGGGUGAGCCUCCGGCUUAAUUGACUCAACCGGGGAACUCCCAGGCCCAGACACAAUAAGGAUUGACAGAUUAGAGCUCUUUCUUGAUUUUGUGGGUGGUGGUGCAUGGCCGUUCUUAGUUGGUGGGGUGACUUGUCUCUUAAAUGCGAUAACGAACGAGACCUUAACCUGCUAAAUAGCCCGCAUUGCUCCGGCAGUGCGCUGGCUUCUUAGAGGGACUUUCGGCUCAAGCCGAAGGAAGUUUGAGGCAAUAACAGGUCUGUGAUGCCCUUAGAUGUUCUGGGCCCGCACGCGCGCUACACUGACGGGGUCAGCGAGUUCCUUGGCCGAAAGGCCCGGGUAAUCUUGUUAGCCCCCGUCGUGCUGGGGAUAGAGCAUUGCAAUUAUUGCUCUUCAACGAGGAAUCCCUAGUAAGCGCAAGUCAUCAGCUUGCGUUGAUUACGUCCCUGCCCUUUGCACUCACCGCCCGUC